CUUCAUGUCCUCCCAGGUGAUCCCCGGUGGCAGCCAAUAUUCAUGACACCAAAGCCAUUCAUUCAGUGGAAGAGCCAUCCUGGAGGAAGAGGACAGAAAAUAAAUCUUAGGGGGAAAGGUGAUAAAAUGAGGCUGGAACCGGUGCGCUUCAGAGGGACCAAGGAGCAGCUGCGCAACUCACCAGCUGAGGAUGCUCUGGCAAUGUACUUCUGCAGGACGAGGGACGCUCUGUGAAGCUCAGAGGAGGAGCGGGGACCUUUUCAAGUUUGUGAGCAGCUGUGGCACUUAGCACACAACCUUUAAUGCCAUCCCCAGGGGCCGUCCCUUGGUCUUAGGUUUUGGCCUGGAAACCAGAGGAAUGAGAUGACCCUCAGCUGGCAACCCUGAAUGUCACAGAGGUGCAAUGACCAGUGGAAGACUUUAAAAUUUGAAACCCAAAUGCUGCAACACAACUGCACAGCGCAGGCAGAAGACCCCUUGGAAGUUUGGGGGCAUCACCUCUGUGUCCGGUUUCACCUAUAAUUUGUAAUAAGGUCCAAGAUCUGUCUUUCCUCCAGCAGGUUUGAUUCAGAAGAAGACCAACUUCCUUUCUCAAAGGUCCUCGGUUCAAAAUCCCUGCCUGAAACCCCAGAGAGCUGACCAUACUGCCCCAGAUGGACUCCAGACAAUGGCAUCUAUAUCCCAUGAAGAAAAAGAGGAGUCCUGACCACCCACCCCUUGCAAUUCGACUGCAGCUCCCAUCAUCCCUCAGCCAAAGGGCUAUGCUGGCUCCUGUGAGAUAUGCAAGCCCUGCCGUGGAGGAGCAGAGCCACCAUUUUCCAUGCCAAAGAGAUGCAGGCACCCCACCCUGGAUCAUGUGAGUUCCCUGGUAUCGGAAAGGAAGCUGUCGGGUGAUCACAACAGUUGGCCUCAGAAACGCCGCACCAGCAAGAUUCUCAGCCUCAGAGAUGAAGGAGGAAGCUGGAGGCAACAGCCUGCCAGAUAAUAUGGCUGGAUCCUUCCCUCCCCUUUGGCUCUUCCCCAGGAGACAAGCAAGGCAGUGUUCCCAUCAUUCUUAACCUGAAAAACGCAACUAAGCUUCAUGCCUUCCUUCCUUCUCUCCUUCAGCGAUAACCAGAGAAUCGUUCCUAGUCAUCUCACUGCACCUUAUCUAUCUUACUACGUUAUAUUUACAUCCAUCGGGGUCGGGAACAAGGCAGCCCAUCUCCAGAAGUUGUUCAACUGCAACAUCCAUCGUCCCUGUCUGUGCUGAUGGGACUUGCAGUCCUGCAGCCUCUGGAGGGCGGCACAUGAUUCACGCCCCAAAGAUUAAACCUGGCUGGCAAACUGGAGUUCUCUGCGGCAUCAGAAUGGCCAAAAACUAUUAGAGAAUAUAACAAAGAGCAGUUGUUUUGCUAUGUAAAAUUUCAAAAAAGUGUAAAUGAAGAAAGCUAGUUGUAAUAAGCAGAACUCUACAUUUAUUUUUAAAAGGCUCAGCUUAAUGAAUCUGACAAAAUGUUUCCCCUUACUGUGUCAUUUUCACCAGAAACCCAAAAGAAAGGCAGUAGGGGGAGUGGAGGAAAUUAAAUAUAUUGUAUAUUCCAAGAAAAGAGGAACCGUGGUGGCAGAGCAAUGAGAGAGAACGAAACCCAAGCUGUCUGUUUGUGGGACACCUGUUUUCAGCAUCUGUGAUGACUGGGGAUGAUGGGGGCUGUGGUCCAACACACUAGAAAGCACUGGAUGCUUUGUUUCAGAGGAAGGAACUGGCAAAACCACCUUUGAGGAUUCCUGGCCUAAGCAAACCUUAAUAAAUUCAUGGGAUUCCCAUAAAUUAACAGGCAACUUGAAGGCGCAUACAGAUACACACAAUCUGAUCUUGGAAGCUAGGCAGGGUCAGCCCUGGUUGGUACUUGGAUGGAGACCGCCAACGAAUACUCAGAGGAAGAGAGUGGUGAAAUCACUGCUCAAGAGAACCAGGCAACUUGAAGGCACAGCCACACAUGAAGCAGAAGGAAUAGUCCAAGGCAAAGAUAACAAAAAGGAGAUAAGCUUGAAUGGAGACCGGUAGGUGCAAAAGAGAAGCCAGAAAAUGCAGCGAGACACAUCCGAAGAGCCACUGUGAACCAGCCCAAAGGCAGCCUGUCCCAUAAUGGCCAAACUAGUUGCCUCAGACUGGCCAGAAAUGAAGGCAACUGGCCCCACCAUUUGACUUCUGGGGCAGGAGGCAAUGCAUAGCCACCCGGACCAACAGCUUUUGUUCGGUCCCAGUCCCUUGCACACAUCUCUGCAGCCCUCUUUUGAAGCUGCUGUAUGACAGCUGCCACUGCUGCAUCCACAAGCUCAGCAUGAGUCAACAGUGCAGUUCAGUGGCCAAGAAGCCAAGAUGGUCCUAGGUGGCAGGGAACAGGAGCAUCAUGUCCAAAUGGUCAGACCUCUCCUGGAAAACUGUGCUCAGCUCUGGGAACUAUAAUUCCAGAAGGGUUGUGGUUGUUGUCGUGUGCCUUCGAGUCCUUGCAAAACAGCACUCUGACAGGAAGCCGUGUUUUGUGAGUGGGGCUACGCUGCCGGCUCAGAAGCUCUGUCCCACACCCCUUAAUGUAAAAUGUCUGGGUUCAGCAGCGCCUUGUGGCUCCUCUCUUGCCCCAUGGGUUCAAGGCAAGGAGACCGGGGACACCGAGGUUGGCUGUGGGUCAAAGCAGUGACCCAUCCGGAAAGGCAGAACGUGGAGGGCGCAAUCCAAAAAAACAUGACACCCGGAUCGAAACUCCACUUUGAAGCCGGGAAACAUACAAUGCAGAGUGCUGCCUGGGGCCAGACCCCAUUCUUUGCAGGAUCCAUGAAUCAGAACAGAAGAAAUUACAAUCCAAAUUGGUAACCAAAAAAAGAAAAGGCCCCUUAAUUACAUUAAUGUAUUCAUUUAAACCAAAGCAAUCCCGGACCUUGAGAUGUCAGCAUGGAUUUAUUCACAACUAAUUACGGGUUUCAUUAAGUGCAUGGCAGGGUGUGCGCAGGAGGCAACUGGUUUUGCUGUUCCCGGCAGGUCCUUUCCUCAGAGCCUCCUUCUCCUGGAGGUUUGAUCAGGCCAGUUUUUGCCCUGGAAUGGUCCCUCCAGGGCUGGGACUGGACAGGGUUUGGGUCACGACAACGUACAAGUCCCGGGUGCGAUGAAGUGGGUUAAAGGCUUUGCAGGUUAGCCUUCUCAGCAACUGAGAAGAACAUUUGUUACUCUGAAGAAUCACAAAGGAGCCAUAUUACCACAUUUCCACGUGUCUAUAAAAUUGGAUUUAGUGGGACUUGAGCAUCUCCAGGGAGGUCCCGGAACCAAAACCUGGUGGAUACCAAGGGACCUCUGUAUUACAGUAUUAAAACACACCACUCAUUUACAACACAUGAUUAAAAGAGAGUAGUCGUCUGGGAGACCAGGGUUCGAAUCCUCUUUCUUUGGCUACGGAAACCCAGUGGAUGGCCUUG